AUUCCAGCUCCAAUAGCGUAUAUUAAAGUUGUUGCAGUUAAAAAGCUCGUAGUUGGAUUUGUGAAGGGUUGAGGGAUGCGUCCUCAUGGUCGCGAUCCUUUCGGCUUGUUCAUCUUUGGUUGGAAUCUGCGUGGCAUUAAGUUGUCGUGCAGGGGAUGGCCAUCGUUUACUGUGAAAAAAUUAGAGUGUUCAAAGCAGGCUUAUGCCGUUGAAUAUAUUAGCAUGGAAUAAUGAGAUAGGACCUUGGUACUAUUUUGUUGGUUUGCGCACCGAGGUAAUGAUUAAUAGGGACAGUUGGGGGUAUUUGUAUUUCAUUGUCAGAGGUGAAAUUCUUGGAUUUCUGAAAGACAAACUACUGCGAAAGCAUUUACCAAGGAUGUUUUC
rnacentral:rRNA from 1 species